rnacentral:rRNA from 1 species
AUGACGAGUGGCGCACGGGUGCGUAACGCGUAUGCAAUCUACCUUUUACAGGGGGAUAGCCCAGAGAAAUUUGGAUUAAUAUCCCAUAGUAUCAAGAGUCGGCAUCGGCAUUUGAUUAAAGAUUUAUCGGUAAAAGAUGAGCAUGCGUCCUAUUAGCUAGAUGGUGUGGUAACGGCACACCAUGGCAACGAUAGGUAGGGGCCCUGAGAGGGGGAUCCCCCACACUGGUACUGAGACACGGACCAGACUCCUACGGGAGGCAGCAGUGAGGAAUAUUGGACAAUGGGCGCAAGCCUGAUCCAGCCAUGCCGCGUGCAGGAAGACUGCCCUAUGGGUUGUAAACUGCUUUUAUACGGGAAGAAACACUCCCUCGUGAGGGAGCUUGACGGUACCGUAAGAAUAAGGAUCGGCUAACUCCGUGCCAGCAGCCGCGGUAAUACGGAGGAUCCAAGCGUUAUCCGGAAUCAUUGGGUUUAAAGGGUCCGUAGGUGGAUAAUUAAGUCAGAGGUGAAAUCCUGCAGCUCAACUGUAGAAUUGCCUUUGAUACUGGUUAUCUUGAGUCAUUAUGAAGUGGUUAGAAUAUGUAGUGUAGCGGUGAAAUGCAUAGAUAUUACAUAGAAUACCAAUUGCGAAGGCAGAUCACUAAUAAUG